GACGAACGCUGGCGGCGUGCUUAGCACAUGCAAGUCGAACGGAAAGGCCCCUUUGGGGGUACUCGAGUGGCGAACGGGUGCGUAACACGUGAGUAACCUGCCCUUGACUUCGGGAUAACUUCAGGAAACUGGGGCUAAUACCGGAUAGGAAUCCUUGCUGCAUGGUGGGGGUUGGAAAGCUUCGGCGGUUUUGGAUGGACUCGCGGCUUAUCAGCUUGUUGGUGGGGUAGUGGCUUACCAAGGCUUUGACGGGUAGCCGGCCUGAGAGGGCGAGCGGCCACAUUGGUACUGAGGUGAGGCCCAGACGCCUACGGGAGGAAACAGGGGGGAAUAUUGCACAAUGGGCGGAAGCCUGAUGCAGCAACGCCGCGUGCGGGAUGACGGCCUUCGGGUUGUAAACCGCUUUCAGCAGGGGCGAAGCUUGUGGUGACGGUACCUGCAGAAGAAGCACCGGCUAACUACGUG
rnacentral:rRNA from 1 species